rnacentral:rRNA from 1 species
AAGUUUGAUCCUGGCUUAGGAUGAACGCUGGUAGUAUGCUUAACACAUGCGAGUCGAAUGAUGGUAACAUCAUGGCGAACGGGUGAGUACAAAAUAAGAAUCUGCCUUUUAGUUGGGUUAAAUACCUGAUGUACAGAAAGAUCCACGAUCGCUAAGAGAAGAGCUUAUUUAAGAUUAGGUUGUUGGUAGGGUAAAGGCCUACCAAGCCGACUAUCUUUAGCUGGUCUGAAAGGACGGUCAGCCACACUGGGACUGAGACAAGGCCCAGGCUUCAAACCGAAGCCAGCAGUGAGGAAUUUUGGACAAUGAGCGAAAGCUUGAUCCAGCAAUACUACGUGGGGGAAGAAGGCUCAAUUGGUCGUAAACCCCUUUCAUUAGGGAGGAUAAAGACAGUACCUAAAGAAGAAGCUCCGGCCAACUUCGUGCCAGCAGCCGCGGUAAUACGAAGGGAGCGAGCGUUAUCCGGAUUGAUUGGGCGUAAAGGGUCCGUAGGCGGCCUUGAGUAGUCAAAAGUAAAAGGUUAAAGCUCAACUUUAAAAUUGCUUUUAAAAAAAACGUCAAGGCUUGAGUUUGAAAGAGGAUAGCAGAAUUUUAUAUGGAGGGGUGAAAUCCUAAGAUAUAUGAAGGAAUACCAACGGCGAAGGCAGCUAUCUGGGUCAAUACUGACGCUGAGGGACGAAAGCACGGGUAGCAAAAAGGAUUUGAUACCCUCUUAGUCCGUGCCGUAAACGAUGAGUGCUCGUGCUCAGACGUAAGAUUUGGGCACUUAGGUAACCCAUUAAGCACUCCGCCUGAGAAGUACGAUCGCAAGAUUGGAACUCAAAGGAAUUGGCGGGGGUUCAUACAAGUGGUGGAACAUGUGGUUUAAUGCGAUAAUCCGCGCGAAACCUUACCAGUUCUAGACAUUUUCUUUUUUUUUAAGAUUAAAAAGAUAAUCAGGUGUUGCAUGGCUGUCGUCAGCUCGUGUUGUGAAAUGUUUGGUUAAGUCCUUUAACGAGCGCAACCCUUGUACUUAGUUGACUUCGGUGACUCUAAGUAGACUGCCCACUAGGAUAGUGGGAGAAAGGUAAGGAUGACGUCAAGUCCUCAUGGCCCUUACGGGUUGGGCUACACACGUGCUACAAUGGCAGUGACAAUGGGUUAAUCCCAAAAAAACUGUCUCAGUUCGGAUUGUCGUCUGCAACUCGGCGGCAUGAAGUCGGAAUCGCUAGUAAUCGCGUAACAGCAUGACGCGGUGAAUACGUUCCCGGGCCUUGUACACACCGCCCGUCACACCAUGGAAGCUGGUCACACCCAAAGUCGUUAUUCUAACCGUUUGGAGGAAGGCGCCUAAGGUAGGAUUGGUGACUGGGGUGAAGUCGUAACAAGGUAGCCGUACCGGAAG